GUGUCAGCAGCCGCGGUAAGACGAACCGUGCAAACGUUGUUCGGAAUCACUGGGCUUAAAGGGUGCGUAGGCGGCUUGCCAAGUCAGUGGUGAAAUCCUGCAGCUUAACUGUAGAAGUGCCUUUGAUGCUGGCGAGCUAGAGCGAGGUAGGGGUCUGUGGAACUUCUGGUGGAGCGGUGAAAUGCGUUGAUAUCAGAAGGAACGCCGGUGGCGAAAGCGACGGACUGGACCUUUUCUGACGCUGAGGCGCGAAAGCCAGGGGAGCAAACGGGAUUAGAUACCCGCGUAGUCC
rnacentral:rRNA from 1 species